rnacentral:misc_RNA from 1 species
AUUGUACUCCUGACUUAUAGAUUGGAGAUUGGUUUCUCUCAAGACUGAAGGUAAUUCAUCAAUUGGCAAGUUUUCUCUCCUCAAAGACGCCCCUCGCCUCGAUCCAGUAGCCGGUCCGGUAACCGGAAUGAUGGUCGUGCUGGUUCGGCCGCCCGAUCUAAUCACAUCGCCUUCUUCCGAGGUCCACGAAAUAUGGAUGGAAGGCGGACUAGCA